CAUAAGUAAUGUCCUGCAAGAACAAAAUUUGACUUGCAUUUCAUUGCUUGAGCCAGAGCCGUAUUACCGUAAGAACUGAAUGACAACUCAACAGUCUUUACAGCAACACAAAUAAACUCUGAUACCAACGCAUAAGAGAUUGUGUCACAAAGAAACAAUAACAACCAAACUCUAGUCGAGUUCACUCAUUUCUCAUUGCUUCUCUGUUCUACCCUCUCUACAUUAUAUAGCACGUUUUUCCAGUUUCUGACACUAAAGUGGGGACUUAGGAAAAAAAAUCGAUUUUUUUUAAAGUUAACCGGAAUGUGCCGUAACGCAUGCGCGUUUGUUACUGAUAGGCCCAGCAACAUUCCGAACAUAUUUUUAUGACGGUUAAGCCUCAUGGGACCUGAAAAUAACAAAAUACGGCAUAACACAUAAACGGCUUGAGAAAUUGAAGAAGUGAGAGGGUACGCCACACCACCAAAAUUUUUUUUUUAAAAAAAAGACCCACAACCGUAUCCAAAGCAGUAGCAUUACCCCUAGGCCCCAGCCUAGGCUUUACCUUAACCCUGAACAUAGCCCUAGUCCGUAAUUCUUGCUGUAAUCCAUACACUUGUAAUCUAUACAUACAGUUGUAAUCGAUACAGUUGUAAUCCAUACACCUUUAAUCCAUACACUUUUAAUCCAUACAUCUGUGUCUCCAAAUAUUAAACCGAGGUGAUAAAGAUGAAUGGUACAGCACGCACGCAUCACCUUUUUUAAAAAAAAAACCCACAACCGUAUCCAAAGCAGUAGCAUUACCCCUAGGCCCCAGCCUAGGCUUUACCUUAACCCUGAACAUAGCCCUAGUCCGUAAUUCUUGCUGUAAUCCAUACACUUGUAAUCUAUACAUACAGUUGUAAUCGAUACAGUUGUAAUCCAUACACCUUUAAUCCAUACACUUUUAAUCCAUACAUCUGUGUCUCCAAAUAUUAAACCGAGGUGAUAAAGAUGAAUGGUACAGCACGCACGCAUCACCUUUUUUAAAAAAAAAACCCACAACCGUAUCCAAAGCAGUAGCAUUACCCCUAGGCCCCAGCCUAGGCUUUACCUUAACCCUGAACAUAGCCCUAGUCCGUAAUUCUUGCUGUAAUCCAUACACUUGUAAUCUAUACAUACAGUUGUAAUCGAUACAGUUGUAAUCCAUACACCUUUAAUCCAUACACUUUUAAUCCAUACAUCUGUGUCUCCAAAUAUUAAACCGAGGUGAUAAAGAUGAAUGGUACAGCACGCACGCAUCACCUUUUUUAAAAAAAAAGUUCAGGUAAGCACAAGAUAACUGGUACUCCACGGUACAAAGCAGUUGGUUAAAAAAAGGACUUGUCACAAAGUGACAAAUCUGUCGAACAGAGGCUUAAUCUCAGAAGAUCGUAGCACAAAGGCUACUCUACUUUUUACAAUACCACGU